GUUUAUAGUAUUAUGUAAAUACAUGAUAGUAUUAGCAUAGAUAAUCUAUGAGUAAAUAUAUAGCUCUGAUAUAUUCCGUGGUAUGAAUUACGAUCAUGACUAAAUAAAUAAAUUACUAUGUAUGAAUGUAUGAUCACAAUGCACAACUUUAUAUUAUAUAAAUUAUAAAUUUAGCCAUUUGGUAAUCUAUGUGGAUUAUUGGACAAUGGACAUCACGGUUAUGAUAAUCAUAACAAAUAUUUUGAAUUUUGAUUAUUAUUGAUUAUACUGCUUACCUGUUUG